rnacentral:rRNA from 1 species
UACGAGGGGGGCAAGCGUUGUUCGGAAUUAUUGGGCGUAAAGGGCGCGUAGGCGGUUUGGUAAGUCCGUGGUGAAAUCUCCGAGCUUAACUCGGAAACUGCCAUUGAUACUAUUUAUCUUGAAUAUUGUGGAGGUAAGCAGAAUAUGUCAUGUAGCGGUGAAAUGCUUAGAUAUGACAUAGAACACCAAUUGCGAAGGCAGCUAACUACACAAUGAUUGACGCUGAGGCACGAAAGCGUGGGGAUCAAACAGG